rnacentral:misc_RNA from 1 species
UACGGAGGGUGCAAGCAUUAAUCGGAAUUACUGGGCGUAAAAGGCGCGUAGGCGGAUUUGUAAGUCAGAUGUGAAAUACCGGGGCUCAACUUCGGUGCUGCAUUUGAAACUACAAAUCUAGAGGGUAGACGGAGAAAACGGAAUUCCACGUGUAGCGGUGAAUGCGUGGAUAUGUGGAAGAACACCUGUGGCGAAAGCGGUUUUCUAGUUUAUUCCUGACGCUGAGGCGCGAGAGCAAGGGGAGCAAACAGG